rnacentral:rRNA from 1 species
GACAGAGGGGGCAAGCGUUGCUCGGAAUUACUGGGCGUACAGGGCGCGUAGGCGGUUGGAUAAGCCCUCCGUGAAAUCUCCAGGCUUAACCUGGAAAGUGCAGAGGGGACUGUUCAGCUAGAGGAUGGGAGAGGAGCGCGGAAUUCCCGGUGUAGCGGUGAAAUGCGUAGAGAUCGGGAGGAAGGCCGGUGGCGAAGGCGGCGCUCUGGAACAUUUCUGACGCUGAGGCUCGAAAGCGUGGGGAGCAAACAGG